CAGGCUUGACCGCAGUGU
rnacentral:misc_RNA from 1 species